GACGAACGCUGGCGGCGCGCUUAACACAUGCAAGUCGAGCGAUGAAAUUUCGACAGAUCCCUUCGGGGUGAAGAUGAAAUGGAUUAGCGGCGGACGGGUGAGUAACACGUGAGUAACCUGCCUUUGACAUUGGGAUAGCCUCGGGAAACUGGGAUUAAUACCAAAUGACACUAACUGAUCACAUGAUCAAUUAGUCAAAGAAAUUCGGUCAAAGAUGGACUCGCGGCUGAUUAGCUAGUUGGUGAGGUAACGGCCCACCAAGGCGACGAUCAGUAGCCGGCCUGAGAGGGUGAUCGGCCACAUUGGAACUGAGACACGGUCCAAACUCCUACGGGAGGCAGCAGUGGGGAAUAUUGCACAAUGGGGGAAACUCUGAUGCAGCGACGCCGCGUGAGCGAAGAAGGCCUUCGGGUCGUAAAGCUCUUUUAUGAGGGAAGAUAAUGACGGUACCUCAAGAAAAAGCCCCGGCUAACUACGUG
rnacentral:rRNA from 1 species